rnacentral:rRNA from 1 species
UAUGGUAAUUGUGUGCCAGCCUCUUCUUUACUACGUAGGGGGCAAGCGUUAUCCGGAUUUACUGGGUGUAAAGGGAGCGUAGACGGCAUGGCAAGCCAGAUGUGAAAGCCCGGGGCUCAACCCCGGGACUGCAUUUGGAACUGUCAGGCUAGAGUGUCGGAGAGGAAAGCGGAAUUCCUAGUGUAGCGGUGAAAUGCGUAGAUAUUAGGAGGAACACCAGUGGCGAAGGCGGCUUUCUGGACGAUGACUGACGUUGAGGCUCGAAAGCGUGGGGAGCAAACAGG